rnacentral:rRNA from 1 species
GAUCCUGGCUCAGGAUGAACGCUAGCUACAGGCUUAACACAUGCAAGUCGAACGAAGCACUUUACCACGAUUCCUUCGGGAUGACGGUUUAGUGACUGAGUGGCGGACGGGUGAGUAACGCGUGGGGAACCUGCCCCAUACCGGGGGAUAACAGCCGGAAACGGCUGCUAAUACCGCAUAAGCGCACAGUACCGCAUGGUAUGGUGUGAAAAACUCCGGUGGUAUGGGAUGGACCCGCGUCUGAUUAG